rnacentral:lncRNA from 1 species
UUUUAAUUUUGGGUUUUUAUAUUCACUAAGAUUAGUCAUGUAUAGGAAAGGAUGUUUCCUAAUUUCUUCUAUCAAUAAUUCUUUUCCAUAUCAGACGCCAUUUGCUUAUUCCAUGUGUGUUUCGAAUCUUUGUGCACGUGGUUGUGAAAAUCAAAAUACAAACAUAACCAAAUGCCUCCUUUCUAUUUGCUAUCAUAAUGACAUAUCCACUGCAAUCAGUUGUAUCCAUUGCAACCAGCAAAGAAUUGUGAAGUUAGGGCUGAUGGGAUUAUUUCUAUAGCAGUGAUCAGAGUUGCAAGAUUAGUGUGAAUCCAGCCUAACAAUCCUGACUUGAUUUUUACUCAAUGCAAACAAUUACUAUACUUUUGUGAAGAAAGAUUUUUAGAAUAAGAGCAUUUAUUUGCUUUAGCCCCGAAUUGAAUCUGUGAUGAAAGAUAUGUCCGGCAAUCAAUUUCUGAUUUAAAUGCAUUGCAUAGGAUAUCUAGAACACCUCAGAUCCAGUAGAGAGAGAGGAUGCUCCCUUUCUUUGUCAGCAUAUUAAUAAUCUCUGUCACUAUUUUCUUUUGUGCCCUAAUACUGAAUCAACUUGUACUCUACUCUCUGUAACCAGUUCCAUAAUGAGAUGAUGUCGUUCUCAUAUAAGCUUUGAAGUAAAACAGAACUUAUCAAGGCUUUUAAUACAAUUUAAUUAUCUAAGGGAUUGAAAUAUAUUUAUUAACAUAGUCUCUGUCAACAUUAAUAUUAAGCUUCCUUUUGUGAAAACCAAUUUGUUUUCCUUCAGUCUCAUUAAAUUACUUGAAUAAGUAUCAUAGCUGUUUAUUAAAGCAAAAGAAUUUAUGAUCCAAUUUAGACAGUUCAAUAAAUACAUGCCAAUUUUCAAUUAAGUCAAAAAUAUUUUACCUGGAGUUUCAAACUCUAUUCUUAUUGAAGGCACUUUAAGGGAAAGUGCAAUAUUGAGAGGGCUGCUAGGAACAAAACAACGUUGAGAGGCUGUAUUAUAAGUGUUUUAAACAGUUGCAUUCCCAAUUAUUUAUUCUUUUACAAUAAUCCUCCAAUACAGAUAGAAUGUAAAUAUAAUAGCUUCUCCUAGUGUCUCAAAGGAUACUUCAUCUUUCUCUGUUGCAAUAGAAUUCAAAAUAGUAACAUAAUAUUUUACACCAGGUAUGUCAAACUUAUUUUAAUUCAAGGGCCAUUUAAUGAACUUGUAAGAUUACUGCAGGCCGCAUCACGUU